GGUGCAGAGAGGGCAGGGCACUGAUGUGAACACUCAUUUGGAGACGUUUUAGGUUCCUGCAACAUGUGCAGUGGAAUUCUCAGCUGCAUGCGUGGAGACAACAGUCCUGCUUCCUGAAGUGUCAUUGUCUUAGGUGGUAUCAUCUCCACCACAAAUGGGAUGGUGAGCAAAGAGGCCAGGUGGUUAUGGGGCGACAACAAAACACUGUGGCUGGCCUGCCAGGCCUGGGUGCAUUCCUCGUGCCUCGUCAGGAGAAGGUGCCCUUCAAAGAUGCUUUGUGGGAAUAAACAACAACUGGCACCAAGAGACCCACAU